UCUUGCAAGAUAAUUCUCUCUCUCCCUCCACCCAUUUUCGAGCUCUCUCUCUCUCUUUCCCUUCAUCUCUCAUCUUCCUCCAUUAACAUCCAUGGUAGAACCUUCGAAGCUUCACCAAAAUAUGCCAAACACAUAAAUCACCAACAAAAUCCCACAUAAACACAACCUAGCUACUUAAAUUCAAGAGAAUCAUUGGAGAUUGCUCCCAAGGCUAGAGAGAGAAAGUGUGAUUGUUGGUGUAAAGUUUGGACACGAGCAGAGCAAGGAAGUAAGUAACUCCGCUUUGACGGGAGAUUUUGAGUAAGGUCUUCAGGCUAAGCGGGGAGCGAGAUUGGUCUGGUGCUGGUGGGGAACCGUUUCAAUCGAUGUGAUCAUAUUUAAUAUUGUCGUUAUGAUUGAUAGAGUCUUGAUGAUUAAAAAUACUUCGUUUCCUUUCGAAUCAAGUAAUAUACUCACGGUUAUGUGUCUUCAUACAUAUAAUCGGUUCGCCUUUUGCUGCGAUACUCUGCAUAUUAUGCUUCCUUAUGAAAAAUGAGCUAUACCCAUUUUGUUUU